CACCUCCUAACGGGGAUCCAGAAGGCCGGCUUACGUGGAGGGCGAGCACCGUUGCCGCUCCCCGGGUGACCUUAUUAUCCUCCCCGCCUCACCUGAGCGAGCCGCCCAAGCGACAGGCAUCUCGUCGGGUCGUUGAACAAGGCUGUUCCCGGCCACGGGGCGCCGGGCACCGCAGCUCAGAAAGGAAGGUGGAAUAGGGCCUGCUGUGAAAGGCGCAGACUCUGCGAUUUUGAACGUAUUUUUCUUCCCGUCUUUGGAUGGCUUGAUGUCAAGGCCCUGUGAUGGAUGAGGCCGGGGAAUGCGGGCUGGAAUCAGACGCAGGGGUACUGCCCCAGGCGCUGAAAAGGAUGCUGCUGUCCCUGUUGUUUCUCUUCCCCAUCCCUUGCAUAUGAAGUCUGAUGAAAGAGAAAACCGAUGCAGCAGUGUCAGUUAAUUCAGAGCCCAGGGCUGCUUUCAAAAGUGGGGCUUAGUAUGACCCCAGAGACAGCCGACUUCAACUCAAAUGACCUUGGAAUCUGACAGAGGGCAUUUCAGUUUCAGAAAUCUUUUGCAACAUACAUGUAACUAUUUCAUGAAAAAGUUUUUGGAAAGCUCAACAACUGCAUCACGCAUCGUUCUCUGCUGAGCAUUUUCAUCUGCAACCUGAUGAUGACUGGACUAGGAAUCGUCUCGUAAAGGGCACCUUGGUGGUGCGUGGAGCUGCCGACGGGCACUUUGCAGCUGAGCACGCACGUUCCUGGUCAGAAACCCACCGCUCUCCUCCUGACACUGGCUUUUGCCAACCAAGGGAGGAAGCUGUCCAUCAAGGGAGGCGGAGAGAAGCGCCUGCCCACUGGAGAUGUGCACGGCAGCCCCACACCCCUGGCUGGAGGUGCUUCCCUUACAGGAGCUCACUCCUUGCCUUGGCAGCUGCUCCCAGAGGGAGAACAGGCUGCUCCCUUGGAGGUGCCAGGGACAGUCACCCCUGGCCUGUGCAUCAGUACUAGAAAGAUGAGCGGGAGACCUGUG
rnacentral:lncRNA from 1 species